rnacentral:rRNA from 1 species
AUGGUGAACCCACCGUAGGCCUUCGGGCCUAUGUCUUAUCAUAUAAUCUGAAUGUCUAAUAGAAUGUAAACCCAUUUCGUUGCCUUGAAAACGUAACGAAAGAAAACUAUACAACUUUCAACAACGGAUCUCUUGGCUCUCGCAUCGAUGAAGAACGCAGCGAAAUGCGAUAAGUAAUGUGAAUUGCAGAUUUUCAGUGAAUCAUCGAAUCUUUGAACGCACCUUGCGCCCCUUGGUAUUCCGAGGGGCAUGCCUGUUUGAGUGUCAUUAAAUCCUCAACCCCUCCGAUUCNUUUCGGUGGGGAUUGGACUUGGAGCGUGCUGGCGAAGGUCGGCUCCUCUUUAAAUGCAUCAGCGGAGAAAAUGCCUUUUGCGCCUCUGGCCGUUCAGCGUGAUAAUGAUGUUGCGCUGCGGUCGAGCUUAAGGUCCGCUUCCAAAGGUCCUCGGACAAAUAUACAUAUGACUUUUGACCUCAAAUCAGGUAGGACUACCCGCUGAACUUAAGCAUAUCAAUAAGCGGAGGAA